GAUGAACGCUAGCUACAGGCUUAACACAUGCAAGUCGAGGGGCAGCAUGAAAGUUUGCUUGCAAACUUUUGAUGGCGACCGGCGCACGGGUGAGUAACACGUAUCCAACCUGCCUCAUACUCGGGGAUAGCCUUUCGAAAGAAAGAUUAAUACCCGAUGUUAUAGUCCUACCGCAUGAUGGGAUUAUUAAAGAAUUUCGGUAUGGGAUGGGGAUGCGUUCCAUUAGUUAGUUGGCGGGGUAACGGCCCACCUAGUCUUCGAUGGAUAGGGGUUCUGAGAGGAAGGUCCCCCACAUUGGAACUGAGACACGGUCCAA
rnacentral:rRNA from 1 species